rnacentral:rRNA from 1 species
UACGUAGGGUGCGAGCGUUGUCCGGAUUUAUUGGGCGUAAAGGGCGCGUAGGCGGCCACGCACGUCCGUUGUGAAAUCGCCCGGCUCAACUGGGCGGGGUCAGCGGAUACGGUGUGGCUAGAGCAAGCUAGGGGGGAAUGGAAUUCCCGGUGUAGUGGUGGAAUGCGUAGAUAUCGGGAGGAACACCAGUGGCGAAGGCGGUUGCCUGGAGCUUUGCUGACGCUGAUGCGCGAAAGCGUGGGGAGCGAUCCGG